rnacentral:rRNA from 1 species
UAACCUGCCCAAGAGAUCGGGAUAACACCUGGAAACAGAUGCUAAUACCGGAUAACAACAGAUGAUGCCUAUCAACUGUUUAAAAGAUGGUUCUGCUAUCACUCUUGGAUGGACCUGCGGUGCAUUAGCUAGUUGGUAGGGUAACGGCCUACCAAGGCGAUGAUGCAUAGCCGAGUUGAGAGACUGAUCGGCCACAUUGGGACUGAGACACGGCCCAAACUCCUAGGGAGGCAGCAGAG